rnacentral:rRNA from 1 species
CCACAAUGGGGGAAACCCUGAUGGAGCGACGCCGCGUGCGGGAUGAAGGCCCCUAUGGGUUGUAAACCGCUGUUCAGUGGAAAGAACAUCCUCCGGCUGAAUAGGUCGGAGGCCUGACGUUACCACUGCAGAAAGUCCCGGCCAACUCCGUGCCAGCAGCCGCGGUAAUACGGGGGGGGCGAGCGUUGUCCGGAAUCAUUGGGCGUAAAGGGCGCGUAGGCGGCGAGGAAAGUCGAAUGUGAAAUCUUGCGGCUCAACUGCAAAACUGCGUUCGAAAACUUCCUCGCUUGAGUAUGAGAGAGGUGUGCGGAAUUCCGUGGUGUAGCGGUGGAAUGCGUAGAUAUCAGGAGGAACGACCGGUGGCGAAGGCGGC